GACGAACGCUGGCGGCGUGCUUAACACAUGCAAGUCGAACGGAAGGGCCCUGCUUUUGUGGGGUGCUCGAGUGGCGAACGGGUGAGUAACACGUGAGUAACCUGCCCUUGACUUUGGGAUAACUUCAGGAAACUGGGGCUAAUACCGGAUAGGAGCUCCUGCUGCAUGGUGGGGGUUGGAAAGUUUCGGCGGUUGGGGAUGGAUUCGCGGCUUAUCAGCUUGUUGGUGGGGUAGUGGCUUACCAAGGCUUUGACGGGUAGCCGGCCUGAGAGGGUGACCGGCCACAUUGGGACUGAGAUACGGCCCAGACUCCUACGGGAGGCAGCAGUGGGGAAUAUUGCACAAUGGGCGGAAGCCUGAUGCAGCAACGCCGCGUGCGGGAUGACGGCCUUCGGGUUGUAAACCGCUUUCGCCUGUGACGAAGCGUGAGUGACGGUAAUGGGUAAAGAAGCACCGGCUAACUACGUG
rnacentral:rRNA from 1 species